AAAGGUAUAGCUCAGUGGUAGAGCGCAUGCUCAGCACCCAGAAGGUCCUGGGUUCAAUCCCCCGUACCUCCU
rnacentral:tRNA from 1 species